UACGUAGGGUCCAAGCGUUGUUCGGAAUUACUGGGCGUAAAGGGCGCGUAGGCGGGCCCGUAUGUCGAUUGUGAAAGCCCUGGGCUCAACCUGGGAAUUGCAGUCGAAACUGCGGGUCUUGAGUGCCUGAGAGGAUGGCGGAAUUCCCGGUGUAGAAGUGAAAUUCGUAGAUAUCGGGAAGAACACCUGAGGCGAAGGCGGCUGUCUGGCGGUGCACUGACGCUGGAGGCGCGAAAGCUAGGGGAGCAAACAGG
rnacentral:rRNA from 1 species